UCACACAGCCCUAACUCUGCUUCUGACAGCUCUGGGGGCAACCAGGAGCCCACAACACACAGGAGUAGCAUGGGGGCAUCACCUCAUGGGGGCACCCAGGCAACUCUGCAGCAUCAGGCUAUAUGGUUCCAGCACUAAAGCGAUGUAUUGAUGCUGACGGCUAUUGUGCUAUUGACUUAUGUCAUCCAGGUGAUACAUUUAUUCAGCGAUGCUACAGAAGGAGGCCUUGCUGUCGAAG